rnacentral:misc_RNA from 1 species
UGUAGCGUGAAGCAUGCAAAGUGGACGUGAAGAUUUGGUAUUGUGCAUGGUUUGGCUACGUGAAGGACAUGCAUGGGAUGUGAGUGGGAUUUUCACGUGAGCUAAGUGGCCUAAGGUGUUAGUGCAUGUGUGGUACACUAGUGGCGCACUAAAUGGUGGUCACAUGCAUGGUGUGGUUCACGUAAAGAAGCUUGGCAUUUGGUGGCUUUGUGGUGAAUUGCAUGUGGUGAGCACCACCUAGUGGGACAUGUGGCGCGCCCAA